rnacentral:lncRNA from 1 species
CAGACUGAAUCAUGUUCUCUUUAUGCAAUGGUGUUUUACAUGUUAGCACAGACAAGUGGCAUCUAGAAGAGAAGCCAAUCCUUUUCUGUUGUUUUUGUUCCUACUCUGGUAGCGCCUUUGGUCAAGGUCUGUGUCCUAAGUGUAUACAGAUGAAAUAACAGCAAGACUCUGGCCUGGAUCAUUUAAGCCUCAAACCUUAGCAUUGCAGAUAGGUAGACAGAACUAACUAGGAUGUGAAUCCCUGAACCCUUGUUUGAUUUUUUUUUUUUUUUUUUUUUUCCCAAAACAGACCAGGGUAGAAGUUAGAAAUGGUCUCUAUCUCCAUUUCAUAAUUUGAAAAGUACUGUUUGUAGACAUAUAGACAGACAGCAGCUAAGUUAAUAUAUAUAUACAUGCAUAUAUAUAUGUAUAAAUAGUUGCGUAACAUACAUAGAAACUAAAUUGUUUAUCUGAGGUUACAGAUUAUAUAUGUGGAAGAGACGUGGUUUGAACUUACUCAGUUUAACUCCACAGUGCUGUCUCUUCUGCACUUACUCAACCCAGGACUUGACUGCUAAGCAUAUUGUUUCUUUCAUUGUGUCUCUCCCAAGACCAAGACCUCCCUGCAGAUGGAGAAGCUUUCAGUCCUCCAUGUGAUCUCUGAUUGACUUCAGCAACAUUGAACCAGACAUGUUUGUUUCUUCACUCCUGACAGACCCAGUGCCUCUGGGAAGGUGAAAAUAAAUGCCCAGGACCUUACCUGCA